CCUACGGGUGGCUGCAGUGGGGAAUAUUGCACAAUGGGCGCAAGCCUGAUGCAGCCAUGCCGCGUGUGUGAAGAAGGCCUUCGGGUUGUAAAGCACUUUCAGCGGGGAGGAAGGCGGUGAGGUUAAUAACCUCAUCGAUUGACGUUACCCGCAGAAGAAGCACCGGCUAACUCCGUGCCAGCAGCCGCGGUAAUACGGAGGGUGCAAGCGUUAAUCGGAAUUACUGGGCGUAAAGCGCACGCAGGCGGUCUGUCAAGUCGGAUGUGAAGUCCCCGGGCUCAACCUGAGAACUGCAUUCGAAACUGGCAGGCUAGAGUCUUGUAGAGGGGGGUAGAAUUCCAGGUGUAGCGGUGAAAUGCGUAGAGAUCUGGAGGAAUACCGGUGGCGAAGGCGGCCCCCUGGACAAAGACUGACGCUCAGGUGCGAAAGCGUGGGGAGCAAACAGGAUUAGAUACCCCGGUAGUC
rnacentral:rRNA from 1 species